ACGUAGGUGGCGAGCGUUGUUCGGAAUUAUUGGGCGUAAAGGGUCCGCAGGUGGCCUGUUAAGUUAGAUGUGAAAUCCCGGGGCUCAACCCCGGAACUGCAUUUAAAACUGGCGGGCUAGAGUAUUGGAGAGGUGAGCGGAAUUCCAGGUGUAGCGGUGGAAUGCGUAGAUAUCUGGAAGAACACCGAAAGCGAAGGCAGCUCACUGGACAAUUACUGACCCUCAGGGACGAAAGCGUGGGGAGCAAACAG
rnacentral:rRNA from 1 species